AUUGUGUGUUUUUAUGUGUUAAACUGUUGCUAAAUUACAGUUCUGUUGGAACUUAUACAUUUACAGUAACAAAAAAAAAUCUAAAGAUGAAUUAGAGCUGAAUAUUUUAAAGCUGAAUAAUAAGGGAUCACAUUUCAACUCAUUGUUCUGUUUUAUAGGUAUAUAAUUCUUCCAUAAUAUAUGGUAUUGCAAUAUAUUAACAUAAUUCGUUUCGCUGAAUUUCUUCAGCAAGCACCUUUUUCCAUCAAACAAACGAGCUCGGUUUCUUUACAUGUCAAGGUUAGAAAUGUAAAAAACGAGUUUGCAGGCAGCCGUGGUUUUGCUGGUGCAUGUGGGUGUCGAUGUAGCUUUAAGUCAUUUUAUGUCAAUGUUCUGUUUUAUCCAAGUGUGGGUAUUGACAAAGCGCCAAAGAAUUCAUUUACCGCUCUUGAAAAUCUAUUAUGACUCAUGAGUCACCUUUGCUGCGAUUUUACUGAUCAUCCAAAAAGCUGUUGAGGGCUAAGCCUGGAUCAAAACAGGACAAGAGAGAGAGAGAGUGAGGCUGUGACAAGCAAUCCCUGGAGAGAUCCCACCGCUGGUGUCUGACAGAGUUGUUUGGUCUCCCCCCACUGCCCUUAUUCAUGAGGCCUCUUCAAAAACCAUAGAUCACACGUCCCUCAUGCACCUUGCACUUGAUGAUAGAAAAUUAUAUCUGAAUAAAAUAUGAAAACCGAGAGUGCCUGAAAGUUUUUUUGCGAGCUGUUACUGUAUUUCGUCGAUGUGUGCACAAGGUGUGACAAGAUGCCAAUUGUGCAUUUGAAAUCUAUGCGGGGGGAAGUUGUUGAUUUGAAAUCUAAUGCGUACUCAGAUAUUGAGGUAUAUGGCAAACUCACUCUUGAAGAUGUUUUAUAAUAUUUCGACUUAUCUGUCACACGCUUGCACACCGUGACUGUGUGUUGAUCUAGUGCACACUAAAAACAAGUCAUUUCUCAUUUCAUUUGUAUUGUAUAUUUGAAUUUCAUUUACAGAUUUUCCUGGCCGCACGUCUCCUUGUUUCAUUGGAAUGAAUAAAUCAAACAGUGAAGAAAACCCCAUCGAGAUUAAGAACCUCUUUUUCAAGGGAGUCCUGACCAAGGUAGGCAGCGGCAAACACCAAACACUCGACAGUUACACACUUACACAGUUAAAACACAAACAGAAAACAAAUAAAAGAAUCCUCAUUAAAUUUACAAGCACAUUAUGAAAAACAAGUGCAUUUUGUAGAGUCGGGCUCAAGAAACUCUCAGUUUGGAUUUGAAAGACUUCAAUGAAAUGAACUCAGUUAGUUAUUCCAUGCAAAAGGAGCAGAAUGGACAAAAGCCCUUUUCCCCAGUUCAGUAUGGGCAUACAGAACAGAAAGCAACAGUAGCAGUAUUUGAAACUGUGGCUGUGUUUUAUCAGUAGCAUCUUCUCUCAUCCUGGUAAGAAUCCAUUUACCAUAUUUAAUAUUUCACUGAUUAAAGUUUUUAAUUAUACUGUAUAUGUUUGACUUUUAUUGGUCCUUUUCUCAUCUUACUCAGACAAACACGCGACCAUCUUCACGCAGUGGGAGCCCAGUAUCAUCUGUGACAUCAUCUGUGACAUCGCGGAGCCCUUUCACAUCCAUGACAGUAACACCACAGAGACCUGUGACUUCUCUGAAGAGGUCAUGUGUCCCACCAGUGGCUGUUCACGAGGACAUGAUUGCACAUUUCCCAGUGAAGACAAAGAUAGGACGCUAUAGACACACGCUCUGCAGGACGUGCAGUGUACGUCUCUGCUUGUCUGGACUGUCUUCUCCCACUUAUCCGGCUUCCUUCAGCAUGUACUGGGUCUGCCCCGACGGUUUCAUUCAGUAUUUUAUUAGCCUAAUAAAUUCUGAUUCAUAAAAA